rnacentral:rRNA from 1 species
CACGUAGGGUGCGAGCGUUGUCCGGAAUUAUUGGGCGUAAAGAGCUCGUAGGCGGUGUGUCGCGUCGGCCGUGAAAACUUGGGCUUAACUCUGAGCGUGCGGUCGAUACGGGCAUCACUUGAGUUCGGCAGGGGAGACUGGAAUUCCUGGUGUAGCGGUGGAAUGCGCAGAUAUCAGGAGGAACACCGAUGGCGAAGGCAGGUCACUGGGCCGCAACUGACGCUGAGGAGCGAAAGCAUGGGGAGCGAACAGG